rnacentral:tRNA from 1 species
AACAUUUAAAUGUAAAAAAUGCAUAAAAAGUUUUGAGUUUUUUAGGGUUAGUGAAAUUCUAACAUUUGUUA